rnacentral:rRNA from 1 species
GAUGAACGCUGGCGGCGUGCCUAAUACAUGCAAGUCGAGCGAACAGACGAGGAGCUUGCUCCUCUGACGUUAGCGGCGGACGGGUGAGUAACACGUGGAUAACCUACCUAUAAGACUGGGAUAAAUUCGGGAAACCGGAGCUAAUACCGGAUAAUUUAUUCAACCGCAUGGUUCAAUAGUGAAAGACGUUUUUGCUUUCACUUAUAGAUGGAUCCGCGCCGCAUUAGCUAGUUGGUAAGGUAACGGCUUACCAAGGCAACGAUGCGUAGCCGACCUGAGAGGGUGAUCGGCCACACUGGAACUGAGACACGGUCCAGACUCCUACGGGAGGCAGCAGUAGGGAAUCUUCCGCAAUGGGCGAAAGCCUGACGGAGCAACGCCGCGUGAGUGAUGAAGGUCUUCGGAUCGUAAAACUCUGUUAUUAGGGAAGAACAAAUGUGUAAGUAACUAUGCACGUCUUGACGGUACCUAAUCAGAAAGCCACGGCUAACUACGUG